GACAGAGGAUGCAAGCGUUAUCCGGAAUGAUUGGGCGUAAAGCGUCUGUAGGUGGCUUUUCAAGUCCGCCGUCAAAUCCCAGGGCUCAACCCUGGACAGGCGGUGGAAACUACCAAGCUGGAGUACGGUAGGGGCAGAGGGAAUUUCCGGUGGAGCAGUGAAAUGCAUUGAGAUCGGAAAGAACACCAACGGCGACAGCACUCUGCUGGGCUGACACUGACACUGAGAGACGAAAGCUAGGGGAGCAAAUGGG
rnacentral:rRNA from 1 species